UCGUCAGGGUUCCUGCACAGAUUCCUUUUGAGGUCCCUGUCGAAAGAGGAAAUGGGGAAAGCAGGGGUAGUUCUCUGGGCUGCGGUUGUGUUUGUGAGGCACCUGAACCGACCAGCUCUGGCAGGUUUUGCCAGACUCUGUGACAGCAACCGUACCUCGGUACGAGCUGCCUUCACCUGAGGCGCAAGUCAACUCUGGAUCAAUGGUGGGAGGCUCGGAUGCUGAGGACGGAUGAGAAAAUGUUUCAGCUGGUGAACUCAACAUCUUACCUACAUUUUCCUCUGGUAAUUUUGAAUCUCAAUCAAUCUUAACUUUGUGUUUGUAUCUGGUUGAAUGAUCCUGUAGCAGGAGGGAGUUACAUAUCAUGGCAUCAAGGUGUUUCAGCAGAUUUAAAAGUUGCAAGCAGCUCACUCUCCGUACACCAAAGUCCAUGGAGCAAACCAGCGAUUUUACAUCACAGCUUACAAGAGUUGCCUCCGCUGAAAUGUGGAGAAUGCUACAGAAGCAGAGCGGGAGGACUCACUCGGCAUUGUUAAAGGGCUGUUCCGCUCCAUCUCUCCUGCAAACAGGCCGUCAGUGGAGGAGGAACCCGAUAGCCUCACUUAGCUCUGAUCUGCUCCAACUGCAGAGAUCAUAGACGCAGGGGACAGAGGGACAGAGGGACGGAGGGGACGGAGGCAGACGCUGAGACCCAAACAUGCUCAGUACUCCAUAUCGACCAGUAGAGGGCAGAGGGACAAUAAAGAUUAAAACUAGUCUCGCUGUGCGACCUCCUCAACACCAGCACGGCCUCCAUCUCCAGCCAUAACACAGUUCCAGUGUCUGCAGCCCAGUUGCCCCAGAAUGUUGUCCGUGCCUGUUACAGGAGCGACAAAGAGUCUCGUCUCUGUCCACAUCCAUCACCGUCCUCUCCUACCUGAGAGAGGAGAGGACAGAAAGGAGGGGAAGAAAGGGACAGAAAGGAAAAGUCAGCGGAGGAAGAGGCAAGAAUAGAGCGAUUAGAAAGAGAAGCACACAUGUCUGGUUGAUGAAAGCAGAAGGAAUCGCCCGAGGCAGAGGAGAUGAAACCAAGACCGCGCGCGCGAGAGAAAGGAGGUUGACAGCUGGUGUCAAGGUGCUGAUUGACAGUUGGGUUUGUUGCUUCAAAACACUUGGUGGUAAGUUGAUCCGAGGCAGAGAAAUGGAUCUUUUCAUCUGCCGCGCAAAAAACAACAACAGUGGUGGUUUUCACUGAGUCUACGACGAUGCUACGAGGUCACAGGAGGACGUUUUUUUAAAACCCGACAGAGAGCAACUCGUUUUUAUUUAGCGGUGGUCAAGUUCAGAGUCACCGCAAACAAACUUUUCAGCAUCUCCGUGUGGAGACAAAUCAAUGAUGAAAAACUCAAAUCUGAGUGUCGUACGUGACCAAAAAUCUUUUAAGUAAACCUUCAAACGUAAUACCUUCAAACUUAUUUAUCCUUUUCUGCAAACGUGAAGCCACGAGUAACUGGUUUCUUCAACUUUUCAGCAAAGAUCUGACGGAACUAAUCUCUCCUAGUUUACCAGUUUUCGAAAAAACCAAUCAAAACUAACUUUCACCCCCUUGAGAACGGUCAGUACAGCUAUGAGGAACUUUUCCCCCCAAAUGAGUGAAACUGCCCAAAUAGUAAAAGACGGUCACGCAAUUUUAUAUCGAAAAAUUCAGCCCAUUGGCUGAAACCCCUGCCCCACACCAACCUAUGACACCACUGUGCAGCAAACACACCACAAUAAAACCAACAUCAGCUCAGCGUUACUCUUGAACUUGUAAGGCCAGAUUCUGGUAGUUUGAGACUCCUCCCCAGCCAGUGACCGAUCAAAAUUAUUUUUUUUGGAAAAAAUAUUGCAUAAUUUUGCUUUAAUGCUAAUUUACAAUAAAAACAACCAUUUAAAAUGAAAUUUUACCAUGUUUUGGUGUUUGAUUAGAUCAAAUAUAGUGAUGCAGAAUGUCCGACUGUUGACAGAUGACGUCAAUCUAUUUCUCUGUACCUCCCAAUUUUCUAAUUUGAGUUUGUUCUUUACUUCUUUUAGAAUUAUCUUUCUCUUGAUGUUUUUUUCUUUU